rnacentral:rRNA from 1 species
AGAGUUUGAUCCUGGCUCAGAAUCAACGCUGGCGGCGUGCCUAACACAUGCAAGUCGCACGAGAAAGGGGAGCAAUCCCUGAGUAAAGUGGCGCACGGGUGAGUAACACGUGACUAAUCUACCCUCGAGUGGGGAAUAACUGAGAGAAAUCUUAGCUAAUACCGCAUAACACUUACGAGUCAAAGCAGCAAUGCGCUUGGGGAGGAGGUCGCGGCCGAUUAGCUAGUUGGCGGGGUAAUGGCCCACCAAGGCGAUAUCGGUAUCCGGCCUGAGAGGGCGCACGGACACACUGGAACUGAAACACGGUCCAGACUCCUACGGGAGGCAGCAGUGGGGAAUUUUGCGCAAUGGGGGGAACCCUGACGCAGCAACGCCGCGUGGAGGAUGAAGUAUCUUGGUACGUAAACUCCUUUCGAUGGGGAAGAUUAAGACGUACCCAUAGAAGA